GACGAACGCUGGCGGCGUGCCUAACACAUGCAAGUCGAGCGGAGAAAAUUGAAAGCUUGCUUUUGGUUCUCUUAGCGGCGGACGGGUGAGUAACGCGUGGGCAACCUGCCUAUUAGCGGGGGAUAACUAUUGGAAACGAUAGCUAAUACCGCAUAAUAUUAAUUAUUGCCUGAUAAUUGAUUGAAAGAUGCAAGCGCAUCACUAGUAGAUGGACCUGCGUAGUAUUAGCUAGUUGGUAAGGUAAGAGCUUACCAAGGCGACGAUACAUAGCCGACCUGAGAGGGUGAUCGGCCACACUGGGACUGAGACACGGCCCAGACUCCUACGGGAGGCAGCAGUAGGGAAUCUUCGGCAAUGGACGAAAGUCUGACCGAGCAACGCCGCGUGAGUGAAGAAGGUCUUCGGAUCGUAAAACUCUGUUGUUAGGGAAGAACAAAUUUGUUGGUAACUGAACAAGUCUUGACGGUACCUAACCAGAAAGCCACGGCUAACUACGUGCCAGCAGCCGCAGUAA
rnacentral:rRNA from 1 species